ACCACACGCCAGCAAGUAGGAGCUUAUGGAAGCUGUGGUUUUCCCUUGAGCACUUCUCCUGCAAUCAAAAACACCUUAAAUUGAUUACCUUUGGCUGGACUGUGAACAGACUGCCAUACUUUUGACCGAAACAACCCUCUCCCAAACAAAGUGGCCAAGAUGGCAGGGUGGAGAUAUUCCCUGGAGCUACAGUGGGUGAACUUAUAUUGCCUCCAAAGAUACUGGAAAAAUCACAAGUGGUGUAUUAAUAUUCCAACAAUCUUACAAGACAUGCAUUCUUAUAAUUAUGUUGUAUGAAUACCUUAAGCAGAUACGUUUCUGGCACUGUGGAAACUGCAAGUGAAGACAGAAGGACAAGCAAUUUUGAAAUGUCUGGACAGUUACAAUGCCAAUGAGAAUCUGCAGUCAUGCCGUUGCCUGAGCUGUUCCCCUCUCUCAGCCUCUAGGAAAGCUAGUCCCUGGCCUUUGUUCCACCACCUUGAAAACUUGUUUAACUGCCCCAUACCAAAAAGAUCCCAGCAAAAAUGGCCAUCCCCCAGCUUGUGGGAGCUUUAUUUACAGCUCCAAUUACAGCAUGUGGGAGCCAUUUUAAUCAGGAGUGCAGCUGCAGAGGUAGAGUCUCUGUGUGCUGCUGUCAUGAUAAUCAUCUUGGCCCUUGUGCACCUGAUUAAAAGGGGGGUAAUUGGUGUCCCACGCUGUUAGUGCACUAUGUGGUCAGGUGCCUCAGUCAGUGGCUAUUUUGCUCCUCUGUCCAUGUUUUUUCUAGAGACGAUGACCGUAACACUUGACCUAAUUAAAUGUUAAAUAGGGACACAUUUGUGGCACCAUGAUCUUUAACAGAGCAUUCCUGGCAGGUCCAGCGCCUGCAGUUGUGGGACCCAGCACCCUGACGCAGCCACAGAUAGCAGGGCAGGAGCUCCCAGGCAACACACACACACAUACGAUACAGGCGGCAUGGAAUUUCAAUAAUCUUGCCCAUCCCACCUACUUCCCAUGUCAGUGCAUAUGCCCUGCAUGCUAUACACGCAUGCCUACCAUCACCCAAGAUGGUGGCAGGGGCAUCAACCCUUUAGGGACAUCCCUGCUGCCAUCUUGGAUGAUGGCAGGCAUGUGCACACACCUCACAGGGCGUGUACACUGACUUGCUGACACAGGAGGUAGUAAGGUGGGCAUGAUUAUGUAAGCCCCUCACCGCCUGCAUUGGGAGGGGAAGUUGGGGAGUACAAUGCUGCAGGUGUCAUGCCAGGUGCCAGCCCUGAUUCUUGGUUUAACUUACCAUGAACACACAAAAUUAUAUUUUCAAGGGCAUACAAAGAAAGGCUUCCAAAGAACACCCUUCAACUUUGGAAUUUGCUGCUCCUAGACCCAGGGCUGGGGCAAGACAUUUUGUUGCAUGAGGCAAAGUACAAGAUCGUGACCCCUCAUUCCAUGUAUAGAAUCUGGCUGGAAUGGCCAUUGAACCUUAGUUCAACACUAGUGAUGGGAGAGCAUUCUUCACCAUGCUUGAGGGGAGCAGGCUAACUUUCAAGGUGCAGUCUCCUCCAACAUCUGGCCACCACUCUCCGCCCCUCAGCAUCUGCUGCCUGAUGCAGCCGGUUUGCAAUUCCUAAUGGUAAAGCCAGACAAGUACAUCUUCCAGAAGUAGUGUAAGACUUUUUUAAAAAUUCAAGCUUGCUUUUGGGGGCUCGGGAUAGAGUAGAAAAUAUAUUGUGCUGUUACGUGUCCAAGGCCCUUGAGAUGGAUUGGGCUAUAAUUCCAAUUAAUCAGUCAAUCAACGAAAAAGGCUGCAAUCCUGCAGAACUCUAUUUGAAAGCAAGUUCAGCUGAAAUCAGUGUGACAUUUUCCCACAUAAAUGUGCUGAAAGUCCAACCUUUGUAUUAAUCACUGUUCUGCUGAAUCCAUCAUGGUAGCGCAAUAAAGGAAUUCAGAGAGAGAGUCUACAUUGACUGACAAUGUGACCUCCGAAUGAUCACCACUUAAUGAUUGUUUGGAGGAACAUGAUUCCUAGAUUUAGAGAUGGAUAAAGAUAAACACAUAAAGCCAGUGUGGUAUAGUGGUUAAGGUGUUAGACUAUGACCUGGGAGACCAGGGUUUGAAUCCCCACAUAGCCAUGAAGCUCACUGGGUGACCUUGGGCCAAUCAUUGCCUCUCAGCCUCAUGGAAACCCUAUUCAUAGGGUUACCAUAAGUUGGCAUCGACUUGAAGGCGGUACAUUUACAUUUUAAAAGAUAAACAGUACAGUAAUACCUCAGUUAACAAAUCCUCCAGGAAUGAAGCUCUUUUUAAGGAAGGAUUUUUAAAAGGUGGAAUUGACCAGCUUUGCUUUGCUAUGGAUAAACUUUCAAGCCUAUGCCUUCCCUUUCCAAGGGUGAAAGUGACAAGACUGUGUACUUGCUUUGCAUCAAAAAGAUAUCUUGUUUACUCCCAGGGCUGGAGAGAGAAGGAUACAAUACUAUUCAGAGGAGAAGACAGGAGGGGGAAGGAGAGGGAAUGGGUGGAUGCAAGGUAGGCACCCUUUAAAGCCCCUGUUGAAGCUGCCCCCACCAUCUAUGAGCGGGUGUAGAAACCUAUCCCUAUUUUUUCCAUGUUAUUUCUAUCUCUGGUACCAAAGUCUCUGUUAAAGAAGUAAUGUCCAUGAACGCAUCUACUUUGUUAACUGAGGUAUUACUGUAUUCUGUUCUGACAAAUCAUACUGAUGAAACUGAAUUCAUCACACACGCACAGCUGGUAAAUUAUGCUUAAUACAGUGAGAUGUAAAAACUCUAUAAAUAUAUUUUUACAGGAGCUCUGAGGUUGCCAAGUUAAAGAAAGUGAGCAGCAUUCUUAAUUGAAGAUAAAUGGCUGCUUGGAUGGCCUCCCCCUCCUCCCAAUCAGAUUAACCUCAAAAAGCAUCUUUAAAAUUCAAGUUUAAAAGACUGCUAAGGGAUAGCUUUGCCUCUCUUCAAAACUAAUAGCCACAGCUUACCACCUAUGCCCUACACAUGUGAAAUGUUUAAAAUAUUUGGCAGGAAUUUUUCUUCCCACAUUGGGCUAGGUUUACUCAGUGAACUCAAUGUGAGAUAAUCCAAAACAAUUUAGGUUCAGCAAAGGUUGGGAAAAUAUUGUAGCAAAACAUAGAGCUUGGCUGGAAGGCUUCUUUGAUCUUCAGAUUAUCAAGUGCACGGUUUCUAAUUUGACAAAUUUUUAGUGGCAAAGCAUAAUAUCUAAACAUUCCUCUUUUGUCAUAACAGUUUAAUCCCUUAAGACUGUGAUUUAAAAGCAUGGGGGAGGAAAGGUUGCCGCAAGAUUUGCAGGAAAUAGGAAACCUGCCUCAGACACCUAGGCUAAAAAAGAAAUAGCAAAGCUGUUAAAUUAUAUAACUAAAUGUUCUAUGUGAAUUGGCGAUAUCACUUCAUACUCAGUUUAGGUUAUAUCAAAUAUAAGUUGACUUCAAAGAGAAUUGUGCAGUAGAUGGAAUAUAAAAGCAGCAAUGUUUCAUCUUUUAAAACUUUCAGCUUGCAUUUCAAAUCACCCAGAUGGCAUGGCAAGAUCAAUACUAUCAAUAGCGAUAGAAUGGUUUGAUGUAAUUGAAGCCUAUUCCGUUCACACUAACCAACAAAUGUCUUUGAGAAGCAUUUACCUAAAAGAUUGCAAAGGAAAUUAAAGCAAUGACAAGAAUAAGAGUAGUAUCAUUGCACCUUAUCUAUAGGUCCAAGACGAAAUAGUAACAUUUGAUAAAAGGAACCAAAAUGUUUCUCACCUAAUUAUAUAAAGGGAAGUAGUUCUGGGACACUCAGUGGGUGAAUCAGAUUGAUGCUGAUGUCUCUGAAGAUGUUUCCUGUCAAUGUGACAGGUGGUCUUGUUGAUGCUGUGGUCCCUCGCUGGAAUUUGGAGAUAACUUAGGGCAGACAGUUACCCUAAAAAGUUGUCUCUGAACCAAGAGAACACAGUUGGCUCAAUGAGGAACAGCUUGGGCAAUAGGAGAGUCAUGAUGACUUUAACUGAUUGCAGGCUAAAGCCUAUCACUGAGGCAGCGAUGGCGGCAAAGAAAGCAUACAUUUCUCUGAACACUGCAUCUUCAAAAUGCCAUCCAACACUACUGUGCCAAGCUUGUACAUCUUGGUUCCAAGGGACAGAUAAUGGAACUCUCUGUGGCCUACCAUAACCAGAUUGCAAGGCAUUUUAUGGAUAAGUUAACUUGUUCCAGCAUGGACUAUGAAUUUAGAUAUGAAGGUCUGGAUGUAAUUGUGGCUUUCUCUUGUGUGCUUAUUUGGAUACUUUUCAGUUUCUGCAACCUGAGGAUGUGGACAGGAUUCCUCAAUAAUGAAAUCCGCCAUUGUAUGCUUGAUCCAUGCCCUUCCUGGCUUACUAGGGCAGCCAAGUGUACAUGGUGAAAACUUUCAGAGCUCCAAUAGCAAUAACCUCUAAAGUUGUUGUACCAGCUGGAGUAGCUAUGGUGGGGGGAUGAGCUAAAGAAGAUAUGUGGGCAUCCAUCCAGUUUGAUUCUGCACACACACACACACACACAAAUCCAAGUAUUGAUUGUGACCUGAAAAACCUUAUACAGCUUGAUGGCAUCUCCAUCCAAAUAACUCUCUGCUCCUGUAUAUAAAACCCCUCAUUUGUUGAAGCCCUGCUCCAUUCUAACCUUCAAGUUUAAGAGCUGGUGACCAGGGACAGGGCCUCAUGGUGGCCAACCAGAUGCCUAAAACUCUGUUUGCAGGUUCAUCCUGUUUCAUUGCUGAAUUAGUAAUGAAUGGUCUGUUUUAUUUCUUUACAUUUUUUAAAAUAAAUUGAUAAAUUGCUCUAUCCUGAAUAAGUAAAGCAGGCUGAAUCUACAAGAAGGAAACUUAAUUUUGCUCGGGAGAACCUUUGCUAAAGAAAACAAAGUUGUGAGGAAACAUAGGAGGAUAUUUGCCAUUGUGAAAGCCACUGCUAGAUAAUACAGUGCUAAGUUAACUUAUUGACCAUUUGAAUUUAUUUCUUACAGUGAGUUGUGUAAUUUUUUUCCCCUGUUCAUGUU